rnacentral:lncRNA from 1 species
GAGCCCGUGACAACCGCCGCGGCGUCCCGAUAAGCACUCAUUACCCCGAAUGCCGAUCGAAACCCCGCAAGGCUUAGCAUCAACUUCCGCAUCUCCCCGGUGAGCGACAGUUAUUAAAUCUCGCAUUUCAAGAAAACAUAAAUUGUUUCCAACUCAAAAUAAUAAAAUAUUAUUUUCUGGCUCAUAGAGGCAUUUUCGUCAUUUUUCUUCGAAAAUAUCGAAACUCGCCAAAAACAUGGUGUAAAAGCUAAAUAUAUUCCUACGUACUUUAAAUCAAAUAACUGAAGAAUAAAAUUACUUUUUCAGUGACACGUGAGCCCCCAACUAACUAAGAAAGUGUAGAGCUACGAACCCUUACUUCCUAUGAUGCAACUUCGAGAUUAAUUCUCGUCUUAAUCAACUAUCAACAAACUGUCCUGAGCCUGAAAAAUGGAUAGGAAGAGGGGUGAGAUUAAAUAAUCCCAGUGAGUAAAC